UUCAUUUUUCAUCACACAGUUGAGAUUCAAUUCUUAUGUUCACGUAGUUAAAUAUUUAGAUCGGAAGCUAUUUUGAGAUGAACGAAUUCAGUUGAUCAAGCAUUAGGAUUACCGUUUAACUAAUAAUUUAAAAGCCAAACAACAGCGUAAUUAAUCCACCAUCCGAUGAGAUAUACAUUUAUAUGACGCGGUUGUUCGGGUUUUUAAACUGAAUAGUGGCUAUAAUAAUACAGUGCAACAUAAUGUGAUGCAAAUGUGUGCCUACUUAUAAUACAGAACACGUGAUACGUUGAAGUUAACUACAAGAACAGCGAAGGCCUAUUUAUAUGGCCCUGGAUAUUCCUGAGCAAAGUCUCGGUGGAGGAGACGAGGGUGUCAGCAGUGGGAUCGACAGGGACAGACGUUGGCGUCACGGUGGGGGGCGGGUAGCUCACAGGAGCCGGUGACGUCGAUGCUGGAAUGUCGCGCUCUCCGUCGCUCAUGUCUCCCCCUGAUGAAAGGGGUGCGUCGCUGUCAUCGGAGUGCGAGCGAGGGGAGACAGCGGCUGUGGCUGUCGAAGGCAUCCUCGGUGGCUGCGGGGUGCGGCGU